rnacentral:rRNA from 1 species
CACGGGGGUAGACCACAGGGAUUGCCUCAGUAACGGCGAGUGAAGCGGCAACAGCUCAAAUUUGAAAUCUGGCUCCUUCGGGGCCCGAGUUGUAAUUUGCAGAGGAUGCUUCGGGUACGGGUUCCUUCCGAGUUCCCUGGAACGGGACGCCAUAGAGGGUGAGAGCCCCGUCUGGUAGGACACCCAGCCCGUGUGAAGCUCCCUCGACGAGUCGAGUAGUUUGGGAAUGCUGCUCUAACGGGAGGUAUACUCCUUCCAAGGCUAAAUACCGGCUGGAGACCGAUAGCGCACAAGUAGAGUGAUCGAAAGAUGAAAAGCACUUUGAAAAGAGAGUCAAAUAGCACGUGAAAUUGUUGAAAGGGAAGCGCUCGCUACCAGACAUGGGUUCGGCGGUUCAACCGGGGCCACGCCCCGGGGCACUCCGCCGGCCCAGGCCAGCAUCAGCUUUCCGUCGGGGGCAAAGGCGUCGGGAAUGUGGCUCUCCUUCGGGGGAGUGUUAUAGCCCGGCGUGUCAUACCCUUCGGGGGGCUGAGGUACGCGCUUCUGCAAGGAUGCUGGCGUAAUGGUAGCUAGUGACCCGUCUUGAAACACGGACCAAGGAGUCAACCUUAUGUGCGAGUGCCCGGGCGUAAAACCCCAGCGCGGAAUGAAAGUGAACGUAGGUGAGAGCUUCGGCGCAUCACCGACCGAUCCUGAUGUCCUCGGACGGAUUUGAGUGAGAGCAUAUAGGGUUGGACCCGAAAGAAGAUGAACUAUGCGUGUGUAGGGUGAAGCCAGAGGAAACUCUGGUGGAGGCUCGCAGCGGUUCUGACGUGCAAAUCGAUCGUCAAACAUGCGCAUGGGGGCGAAAGACCUAAUCCGAAUUCUUCCUGAUGGGCC